ensembl:lncRNA
CAUGUGUUGUUGUCUGUGUCGAAUUGCUAUGCUUUAUCUUGGCCAGGUCGCAGUUGCAAAUGAGAACUUGUUCUCAACUAGCCUACCUAGUUAAAUAAAGGUGAAAUAAAUAAAAUAAAUAAAAAUUGAGAUAGAAUGUUUCAUAUUAGGUUACAAUACAGAAUGUCACCUUUUAUUUAAAACUAUUCAUACAUAUAUAUUUUACCGUUUAGUCUUAAUUGUACAAACUAAUUUAGUCAAAAGUUGAGUGUUUGGUCCCAUAUUCCAUUCCUGCAGUGAUUACAUCACACUUGUGUGAUUUACAUCACAAGCUUGUGAUUCUACUAACUUGUUGAAUUAAUUUGCAGUUUGUCUUGGUUGUGUUUUAGAUUAUAUUUUUCCUAAUAGAAACUGAAUGGUGAAUAAUGUCCUAUCAUUUUGGAGUCACUUCAUUUGUAUUGUCAGUAAGAAUAGAAGAUGUUUCUGAACACUUCUACAUUCAUGUGGAUGCUACCAUGAUUAUGAAUAAUAAUGAAUGAAUCAAGAAUGAUGAUGAAUGAGAAAGUUACAGAGGCACAAAGAUCAGACCCCCUCUGUUAUUGGUAAUGGUGAGAGGUUAGCAUGUUUUGUUGUAAGGUUAGCAUGUUUUGUUGUAUCCUCUGUUAUUGGUAAUGGUGAGAGGUUAGCAUGUUUUGUUGUAGUCUCUGUUAUUGGUAAUGGUGAGAGGUUAGCAUGUUUUGUUGUAG